AACAAUUUCCAAAAUAAAUUAAUUCUAUGCAUAUUUAAUCAUUUUGAAAAAUAUAUUUAAAAUAUUUCUAAUGAUUAAAUAUGCAUAUACUACAAUUAAUUUAUUUUUGUGGAUUUAAUUUUAUUUUAAUUAUUUUAGCGAUAUAUAACAUUUAUAUAUUCGAAAUUAUUGGAAAACAAUCGAUUAAAAUAUGUAAACAAUAUCAAAAUUUAAAAUCGGAAUAUGAUUCUCUUAUUCUGUCAAACAAUUUUCCUCCUCUGACAAUUCGUCGUUUAUCUACCACCAAUGAGACGAUCCGUCCUAUCGAUUCCUUUGGCCUCCAACCAAUGAAACGGCGUCACGACACAGUAGCAUAACCUUAUUCGUUGUUAAGUUUUCGCGAUUAAAUUUUACCAUUUCUUCUCACUAGAGGGCAGUGUUUGUAUCGCAAAUAGUCAAAAUAAAUCCGAUUGAAACUUUCGGAUUCGAAAUAAAAUUCGAUAAAAAUUUUCUCUUUAUUAUAAUACCGUUAAAUAAAAAUCUAAUUCAUAAAAUAUCUACUUUUUAUGUUUUUAUUUCUCUAGGAAAAUGGUUUGUUAUUCUCCAAGGCAAAGAUUUUUGAACUGUAAAAAUAAAUACGGCAUUAAAUAUUAUUGUAUAGAAAUAUAAGUUACGUGAGCAAUUUUUAUCGCAGAUGUGUUUCGUUCUGUGAUCACAGUAGAACCUGGGUUAUUUCUGAAUCGCAUCACGGCAGCAGUUUUAUUCUUACGUCUGGAACAACCUAGUCUUUCCCGCUCACAACGUGUAUAGCAUAGCAAUGAAGUGUCGGCGAUGUUGAGCUUAACAAGUCGUUCAGUGGGUUGAGAGAGAGAUAUAUAUACAAGGCUAACAUCAAGUCAUAAAAAGAACGAUAAAAUCUCUUUUAAUAAGUGGCGGAGAAUUACACCGUGAUAAAUAGCCUAAUAGUAAAUAAAACAUUAAAUAAUACGCAGAUAAAACCAUCGCUUGACACCUGUAAUAAAUAACGGAAUAUAAUACUGAGUAGUCAUAAAGAAUCUGCUGUUACCUGUGUCUACUUGCUUGACAAGUUGAUCAUAAGUUGAAAGUGUAGAACAGUAACGGUGUUUUUACUAUAGAUGAUUAAUUUUCACUUUUUUUUUCUUCUUCCUUAAUUAUAGAAAAUGCAUUAAUGCGAUUUUUUCUCUACGAUAUUAUUUGAUUUAAGUAAAGAAUAUCGUACUCGCAUGUCUAACAAGAAAGUAUGCUCAUCGUAAAUUUUUUUUAUAACAACUAGAACUCCCUUUAUAAACCAUACGUUAGUUUAAUCUAGACAAAAUAAAUUUUAGCAUCACGCUAUAUUAUUUCUACUUAUAAAUAUUGAUUUAUAUCAAACAAAAUUUAUACAAGUAUCAGUCUAAUACUUUUUAAGAUAAAAUUUAUUUAAUUAAUUUAAUAUCCACUUUUUAAUUAAUUUAUAACUUAUAAUGUCAUUAAAU
rnacentral:lncRNA from 1 species